rnacentral:rRNA from 1 species
GUUGACCUCGAAUCAGGUAGGACUACCCGCUGAACUUAAGCAUAUCAAUAAGCGGAGGAAAAGAAACCAACAGGGAUUGCCCCAGUAACGGCGAGUGAAGCGGCAACAGCUCAAAUUUGAAAUCUGGCCCUCGGGUCCGAGUUGUAAUUUGUAGAGGAUGCUUUUGGCGAGGUGCCUUCCGAGUUCCCUGGAACGGGACGCCACAGAGGGUGAGAGCCCCGUAUGGUCGGACACCGAGCCUCUGUAAAGCUCCUUCGACGAGUCGAGUAGUUUGGGAAUGCUGCUCAAAAUGGGAGGUAUAUGUCUUCUAAAGCUAAAUAUUGGCCAGAGACCGAUAGCGCACAAGUAGAGUGAUCGAAAGAUGAAAAGCACUUUGAAAAGAGGGUUAAAAAGUACGUGAAAUUGUUGAAAGGGAAGCGCCUAUGACCAGACUUGGGCCCGGUGAAUCAUCCAGCGUUCUCGCUGGUGCACUUUGCCGGGCACAGGCCAGCAUCAGUUUGGCGCGGGGGAAAAAGGCUUCGGGAAUGUGGCUCCCUCGGGAGUGUUAUAGCCCGCUGCGUAAUACCCUGCGCCGGACUGAGGUACGCGCAUUGCAAGGAUGCUGGCGUAAUGGUCAUCAGCGACCCGUCUUGAAACACGGACCAAGGAGUCGUCUUCGUAUGCGAGUGUUCGGGUGUCAAACCCCUACGCGUAAUGAAAGUGAACGCAGGUGAGAGCUUCGGCGCAUCACCGACCGAUCCUGAUGUUCUCGGAUGGAUUUGAGUAAGAGCAUACGGGGCCGGACCCGAAAGAAGGUGAACUAUGCCUGUAUAGGGUGAAGCCAGAGGAAACUCUGGUGGAGGCUCGCAGCGGUUCUGACGUGCGAAUCGAUCGUCAAAUAUGGGCAUGGGGGCGAAAGACUAAUCGAACCUUCUAGUAGCUGGUUUCCGCCGAAGUUUCCCUCAGGAUAGCAGUGUUGAA